rnacentral:lncRNA from 1 species
GAGAUUAUGGCUUUCAAUCUCUUCUGGACAAUGGGAUUAUUGAGCUUAUAGGACCUGAAGAAGAAGAAGACUGUCGAACUGCAUGGGGAGUUGAGUACAUCUUAAAAGCAGAUAAAGAGAAUCCCCCUGCUAAGUAUACUCAUUGUGAGUUGGACAUGUCAUUCCUAUUAGGCUUGAGCUGUGGUAUUAUCCCAUUUGCAAACCAUGAUCAUGCUAGGAGGGUCCUCUAUCAAUCUGAGAAGCACUCUCAGCAGGCAAUUGGGUUUUCAACAGUGAAUCCAAACAAUAGAGUUGAUACAAAUACC